AGCUCCAAUAGCGUAUAUUAAAGUUGUUGCAGUUAAAAAGCUCGUAGUUGGAUUUCUGUCCGGAGAGACCGGUCGGCGCCCUUUGGGCGUGUGCACUGUUGUCUGCUCCGGACAUCCUUGCGGAGAGUGCGUGUGCCCUUAAUUGGGUGUGCGUAGGAUCCGCAACGUUUACUGUGAAAAAAUUAGAGUGUUUAAAGCAGGCGAUCGCUGUGAAUACAUUAGCAUGGAAUAAUGAGAUAGGACUUUGGUACUAUUUUGUUGGUUUGCGCACCAAGGUAAUGAUUAAUAGGGAUAGUUGGGGGUAUUCAUAUUCAAUUGUCAGAGGUGAAAUUCUUGGAUUUAUGGAAGAUGAACUUAUGCGAAAGCAUUUACCAAGGAUGUUUUCA
rnacentral:rRNA from 1 species